rnacentral:rRNA from 1 species
UACGUAGGGACCGAGCGUUGUCCGGAAUCAUUGGGCGUAAAGAGCGUGUAGGCGGCCACUUAAGUCCUGCGUGAAAUCUUGCGGCUCAACCGCAAGCGGUCGUGGGAAACUGGGUGGCUAGAGUGCGGGAGAGGAGAGUGGAAUUCCUGGUGUAGCGGUGGAAUGCGCAGAUAUCAGGAAGAACACCCGUGGCGAAGGCGGCUCUCUGGACACGUAUUGACGCUGAGGUGCGAAAGCGUGGGGAGCAAACAGG